rnacentral:rRNA from 1 species
UCAUGGGGGUGUCCCUUCUGGGACACCACCGGCGGACGGCUCAGUAACACGUCGGUAACCUACCCUCGGGAGGGGGAUAAACCCCGGGAAACUGGGGCUAAUCCCCCCAUAGGUGUGGGGUACUGGAAGGUCCCCACACCGAAAGGGGCUUCGUGCCCGCCCGAGGAUGGGCCGGCGGCCGAUUAGGUAGUUGGUGGGGUAACGGCCCACCAAGCCGAAGAUCGGUACGGGCCAUGAGAGUGGGAGCCCGGAGAUGGACACUGAGACACGGGUCCAGGCCCUACGGGGCGCAGCAGGCGCGAAACCUCCGCAAUGCGGGAAACCGCGACGGGGGGACCCCCAGUGCCGUGGCAACGCCACGGCUUUUCCGGAGUGUAAAAAGCUCCGGGAAUAAGGGCUGGGCAAGGCCGGUGGCAGCCGCCGCGGUAAUACCGGCGGCCCGAGUGGUGGCCGCUAUUAUUGGGCGUAAAGCGUCCGUAGCCGGGCCCGUAAGUCCCUGGCGAAAUCCCACGGCUCAACCGUGGGGCUUGCUGGGGAUACUGCGGGCCUUGGGACCGGGAGAGGCGGGGGGUACCCCUGGGGUAGGGGUGAAAUCCUAUAAUCCCAGGGGGACCGCCAGUGGCGAAGGCGCCCCGCUGGAACGGGUCCGACGGUGAGGGA